GGGGAAUCUUGCUCAAUGGGCGCAAGCCUGAAGCAGCAACGCCGCGUGAGGGAUGAAGGCCUUCGGGUUGUAAACCUCUUUCAGCAGGGACGAAGAUGACGGUACCUGCAGAAGAAGCCCCGGCCAACUACGUGCCAGCAGCCGCGGUAAUACGUAGGGGGCGAGCGUUGUCCGGAUUUAUUGGGCGUAAAGAGCUCGUAGGCGGUUUGGUAAGUCGGGUGUGAAAGUCCGAGGCUCAACCGCGGGAAGCCACCCGAUACUGCUAUGACUUGAGUCCGGUAGAGGAGUGUGGAAUUCCUGGUGUAGCGGUGAAAUGCGCAGAUAUCAGGAGGAACACCAAUGGCGAAGGCAGCACUCUGGGCCGAUACUGACGCUGAGGUGCGAAAGCGUGGGGAGCAAAC
rnacentral:rRNA from 1 species